AUUGAACGCUGGCGGCAGGCCUAACACAUGCAAGUCGAGCGGAGCGGCGGACGGGUGAGUAAUGCCUAGGAAUCUGCCUGGUAGUGGGGGAUAACGUCCGGAAACGGGCACUAAUACCGCAUAUUAUUAGACGAGCCUAGGUCGGAUUAGCUAGUUGGCGGGGUAAAGGCCUACCUAGGCGACGAUCCGUAACUGGUCUGAGAGGAUGAUCAGUCAAACUGGAACUGAGACACGGUCCAGACUCCGACGGGAGGCAGCAGUGGGGAAUAUUGGACAAGGGGCGAAAGCCUGAUCCAGCCAUGCCGCGUGUGUGAAGAAGGUCUUCGGAUUGUAAAGCACUUUAAGUUGGGAGGCGUUACCAACAGAAGAAGCACCGGCUAACUUCGUGCCAGCAGCCGCGGUAAUUC
rnacentral:rRNA from 1 species